rnacentral:rRNA from 1 species
GACGAACGCUGGCGGCGUGCUUAACACAUGCAAGUCGAACGCUGAAGCUCAGCUUUUGUUGGGUGGAUGAGUGGCGAACGGGUGAGUAACACGUGAGUAACCUGCCUCCUUCUUUGGGAUAACGCCCGGAAACGGGUGCUAAUACUGGAUAUUCACUGGUCUUCGCAUGGGGGUUGGUGGAAAGGGUUUUUCUGGUGGGGGAUGGGCUCGCGGCCUAUCAGCUUGUUGGUGGGGUGAUGGCCUACCAAGGCUUUGACGGGUAGCCGGGCUGAGAGGGUGACCGGUCACAUUGGGACUGAGAUACGGCCCAGACUCCUACGGGAGGCAGCAGUGGGGAAUAAUGCACAAUGGGCGCAAGCCUGAUGCAGCGACGCCGCGUGAGGGAUGGAGGCCUUCGGGUUGUGAACCUCUUUCGCUCAUGGUCAAGCCGCAACAAUGGUUGUGGUGAGGGUAGUGGGUAAAGAAGCGCCGGCUAACUACGUG